AGCAUAAUUCAAAAUCAGUAAACUCGAUGUUUUUAACAAUAAAAAUGUUUUAAAAUGUUAAAAACAUUGAGUUUGGUGAUCUUGAAUUAUGCUUCACUGAUUUUCUUAGUUAGGUUUUUCAAGUAAAAGAGCUGAAAUGCGCCUUAAAAACCAUCGUUCAAAAGGCUGAACUGUGCCUUUAAUGACAGUAAGAUAAAGUGUUAAUUACUCGACUUAUUAAUAUUCACUUUUCACUAAACAUUUCACACAACUAUAUUAUAAAGACAGUAAUUUAUUUACUUAUAUUAAUGUUGAUGUUCAUAGUUCCACAAUUAGCUCCUUGUAGUAGUCCGCUCAAAUCUAGUGUCGAACUUGCACGUUGUUCAUAAUCUAUACAUGCAUUUACGAGAGUUUCGUCGUGAAUAUCUAACAUUGAAUCAGAAUUUGAGGUAGAACUACCAGACAAAACAUUUGAGACGAGGAUGUUGUCACUCGCGUCUUCUCUUUGAUAUGUUAGCACACCUU